UGUUUGACAUUGGCCUAUUGGUGCAUUUUCAUUUCCUGUUGCAAUACAUCCUUUAGCAAAUGCAUAAACCCCAGCGAGUCACUCACGCACACACUCGCCUAAACCUCAACCUCGCGCCAAAUCAGUCCCAGACCCCCACCACCCAACCCCCCCUCCACCUGGACAUGCAUCAAAACGUCGUCGUGUUGGACAACGGCGGCGGCCUAAUCAAAGCCGGACUCGGCGGCGAGCGCGACCCCUCAGCCAUAAUCCCCAACUGCGUCUACCGCCCACUCUCCUCCAAGAAAUGGGUGCAUCCUUCACCCACCGAGCCCAUGGACCUCACCUCCGCCGCGGUCCGGCGGCCCAUCGACCGCGGCUACCUAAUCAACCCGGAUCUCCAGCGCGAGAUCUGGGCCAACCUCUUCUCCUCCCUUCUCCGGGUCAACCCGGCCCAAUCGUCCCUUCUCCUGACGGAACCCCUCUUCACCCUCCCCUCCAUCCAACGCGCCACCGACGAGCUCGUCUUCGAGGACUUCAACUUCUCGUCGUUCUACGUGGCCCACUCUCCCUCCCUGGCCCACCUCUACGAGGCCAGCCAGCGGACCUUUAAGGCCCAAUGCAGCCUCGUCGUUGACUGCGGCUUCUCUUUCACUCACGCCGUCCCUGUUUUCCAAAACUUCCCCAUCAACUACGCCGCUAAGCGAAUCGACUUGGGCGGCAAGGCCUUGACCAAUUACCUCAAAGAGCUUGUAUCUUACCGCUCUGUCAAUGUCAUGGACGAGACCUUCCUCAUCGACGACGUUAAGGAGAAGCUCUGCUUUGUUUCCUUAGACGUUGCUCGUGACCUCCAGAUCGCAAAGAAACAAGGGAAUGACAAUGCUUUCAGGUGCACGUAUGUGUUGCCUGAUGGUGUUACGCAUACAAAAGGGUUCGUUAAGAACCCAGAAGAGGCGCAGAGAUACUUGGCUUUGGGAGACGGUGACACACUUGAAGAAGUGCAGCAAAAGAUGGAUGUGGAUCAGAUGGAAGUUACAAACAAGCUGGAGGAUCGAAAGAAGAUUGAUUUAACCAAGAAUGAAUUUGACUUGACAAAUGAAAGAUUCCUUGUGCCGGAGAUGAUCUUCCAUCCUGCUGAUUUGGGAAUGAAUCAGGCUGGGCUAGCGGAGUGCAUAGUUCGAGCUGUCAGUUCCUGCCAUCCUCAUCUUCAGCCUGUACUCUAUGAAAACAUUAUUUUAACCGGCGGAAGCACACUAUUUCCUCGACUUUCUGAUAGACUAGAGAAAGAGCUGCGGCCUCUUGUUCCUGAUGACUAUCAAGUGAACAUAACUCCUCAACAAGACCCCAUACUAGGUGUUUGGCGAGGAGGAUCUCUUUUAGCAUCAAGUCCUGAUUUUGAAGCAAUGCGUGUCACCAAGGCUGAAUAUGAGGAGCUUGGAUCUGCUCGAUGUCGCAGGAGAUUCUGUUAAUCUUGAAGGCUACAAUAUCAACUUACAAUCCAAGUUUUCGGAUGAAAUCCAAAAUUGUUUAUUGUUACUCAUCAACCAAACAGCCCCAACCCUGAAUAAGUAACAAUCCAAGUUUUCGGAUGAAAUCCAAAAUUGUUUAUUGUUACUCAUCAACCAAACAGCCCCAGCCCUGAAUAAGUAACAAUCCAAGUUUAUUGCUUAUUGAAGACGGGCCACUUCUUUUCUUGGGCCAGAGAAGCAACAAAACCAAACAAGCCCAUAGCCCAUCCAAAUCGACAAACUGAGAUCUGAGACAAUCGUAUUCAUAAGCCCUUGGGAGUAACAAAAACCCAAAGCCCAAACAGAGCACCGAAAACCCGCCAACUGUCUCUCUCUAAGGCUCCAAGCCCUAAUCUAAUCCCCGACGCCAAGAAGCUUUGAUUCGAUUCGACGAGAUCAUCUACGAUCGCAAUCACCGAUACGUUAGUGACGUUUGGGUUUGAGGCCUUUGCGAAGAUCGCGUUCAAACACACUCGACGGAUCUGACGCCUUUGCGAUGAUCGUGUUCGAUCGGUUGGGCCGGUUGUUUCAGUAAUUCGAUCCAAUUUGGAUUCGAAGACGAUCAUCGAUGGGGAGGUCGCUGGUUUUGCCCGUGGAUGAACGAUUUCAGGGUCGCGGUGUUUCCGAUGGUGUAAAUUACAACCUUGACGGUGUAACGUUAGGGUUUGUUGUUGGGCAGAUCAUAUGUGGCUGAUGUGCCUGAUCUGGUGGAGCCUGAGUGCGCUUCGGAAUUGAUUCAAGCGACUCUCUCCUUUUUUGAGACAGAUUGACUCACAGAUGUUCAUAUCUUUACCUUCUCGAUCUUCAUAUGCAGAGGAGGCAACCUCGGGAAGGCAGGACAGGGGCCUCGCAGGACCAAUGUUAAGUGAGACAAAGUUGUAAAACUUGCAAGGUGAACUCAUGAAAGAUCUACAUAAGGUGGGCAGUAGUGUGACCACAAUCAAAGUGUGGAGUUCUACAAUACGAAGUAGCUGCUGCUCAGGAUAUUUUUACUGGGUCCUUGUGUUUUGGGCAAAGGCUCCAAUUUCCUGAUAGGUGUUGUUCCCUGAUGAAUGCAGCUCUUAAAUUUAACGGAGCUUGAACUCGAAGUGGGUUGAUAUUUCAAGUUGGGUUUUCUCGUUCACUUAUAUAUUUCUAUAGAUAGGACUCCUGCAGCAAUCCUUAAACUUGUUUCCGGCCUUUUUUUUUUUUUUUUUCCCCUGUAUGUCAAUAGUAGCUAAUGCAGAAUCAUUCUAUAGCGAGGGCUUCAGCUAAGGGCCCUCAUUACAGAAUUCUUUUGCUAAUGCAAAACGGAUGUAAGGUGUCAUCAUAAGUUACGUCAGUAACAAAAGUCGUCUUUGUACA